ensembl:lncRNA
AAUGGAGCUAACCUCAUUUCACAGCCAUUAGAGAUGGAGAUGAGGCCCCGCCCCCAGCCCCGCCAGCUGCAGCUCCCACAGCCCCGGCCACGUUCUUCCCCUCCGGCUCGCCAUUUCCCCUUGCCACCGCUCCUCUCCCUCCCGGGCCUCUGCUCCUCCUUCCAGGCUUCCCUCUCCCCUUCCCCAUUGUUCUUUCCCUUCCCAUCUUUCCGCGCUUCCCUCCCCUGCCCUCCUCUCCUCCAUUCCUGGCUUCCUUUACCCCUCCCUCUGCCUACCCCCGGUCUGUCUGUCCGCUGCGUCUCCAUCCCCCCGUCCCCUUCUCCGCUCCCCUCCCCCGCCCUUCCCUGCUGCGGGCCCUCCCCUCCCCCACGGUGCCCCGUCUGGCCAAAGGACAAAUCUCAAGGGGAAACCUGCAAAGACAAACAAGGAGCAGUGACUUCAUUAUCGUCGUUAAUUUGCCACUUCAGUUCCUCCCACAAGGGUCAGAGCCGGCACGGCUUGAACUCAGGACUGAGGCGGAGGCCGAGCCGGCCGCCUGCCUUUUCCGCCUUAAGCCUCUCCCACAGCCACUCGGCCUCCCCUCCUCCUCCCGGCCUUCAUUUCUCUGCAGGGGGUCAGGCUCCGGGUUUUUCUCUUCCGUUUCGCAGUCCUCGCAGCCUCAGCCUACCGCCCUCCUUUUUCAUUUAAAUUAUUUGGCCUUCCCUCCGGCUCUCCUGGCUCCAAAGGUUUGAAGACCACAUAGCCUGGUGACGCAGGGAAUGGGAGGAAGGAGUCUGUGGUACAAGCAAGAAAAGUAAUACAGAAGGUGGAAAUGGCUGGAUUGAAAGGAAGACAACUGUGAUAAGGGAUGACAGGCACCUGAGUCAAGCCCAAUCCCAGCCCCAAAGGGAGAAACUGAAGGUAGCUGGCUGUGACUGGAGGAGGCACCGCAGAAAUGUCUACACAGGAAAAACCGAGUGCUACUUAUGCCUUCUAAUUGCUCAGGCCCCAGUGCCAUCACAGUUCCAGUGGAUGGCCCUGCUGUGAUUCCCGUCCUGGAACCUUGUAUUCCUGCCCCAGUGCAGAGGCAGCUCCUAUUCUCUCAUUUGACUUUGAAAGAGAUAUUUUGAGGGAGUGCCAUGCUGUCUUGGGAGGGAUUAGGAAAAGGUGUCUUUUUCCAAGUAUGUACAGCUUGGUGACAGGAGAACAGGUGGAUCUCGGCUCUGUCAGCCCCUUAGCUGGGUACCCUAGACAAGUGGACACAGAGGCCCUGGUCUGCA